UCUAUUAUCUAUGAUUUUUUCUUUCAUAAAUUAUUUAUACUAUUGUUUUAAAGUAUUUCAGUAUAUGUGAUGUAUGUUCAGUGUUGUCCAUAGGUGUGUGGUGUUGUCAACGCAUACGAUUAGUAAAUAAUACUGCCCAAUCAAUACCUACUCAUUCAACAUGAUUAAUAAAACCAUUUUGUAUUAGCAAACAUAAAUCCUAUAAGAAGCCUCGUAGUACUAUUUAACAUUCAAUUGACAUUUAUGGAACGUGUUGAUUAUAUAUGUGUAACAAAGCCUCUAGAAAGCUUAAUUUUGUUUUAUGUAAAUCAAUAAUUUUUAAAAAAUAUAAAAAUCAUAUUAAUUGGUAAUUUUUUACAUUAGUUGACAUUCGAGUUGAGACAUGAAGUUUAGCCAUGUAGGUAGAAUGACCAAGUAGUGUGGUAGUAUUUAUUAGAAUUUUGUUUAUUAUUUGUUUAAAAAUCAAUGUGACUGAGAUACAGGCUGUUAAAGUAUUGUUAAUCGAAGGAAAUUUCGAUAGGUACGGCCCUGACUUCAGCCUUCCGUCAGCUGUUUCCUCCAAACAUUGUUUAUUCUAAAACAUAUCUCGUAACAUCAUUCCAAUAUAUCAGCCCGCCUUUGGCGGGCAAGGACAUUGUAAAAACUCCAGUCUAUCAUAAUUCUACCUAACUAAACGAUGACAUCAUCAAUGCAUAUUUGGCGAGAACAGCUGAUGAAGGGCUGCAGCCAGGGCCGUAUCAACCGGAAUUUCCUCCGAUUAAGAAAACUUUAGGAGCCUUAUCUCCAGCUACAUAGAUUUCCGCAUGGAAUUAAUACUACCACACGAUUCUACUUGGUGAGUACUACUUACCUGACUUAACUUCAUCACUCAACUCGUCUGUCAACUAAUGUAAAAAAUGGCCUAUUAAUAUUAUACCAAAAUUACGUCAAAUCUAUUAUGGUUUAUGCUGAUAUUAUACGACGUCCUUUUCUACGAAAGCGUAGAAGGACCAAACAAUCUUUUUUGGAAUUUCGACUUUGAACUUGAAAUGUUGACUUGCAACUCGAAACUUCGACUUUAUCUCGAAAUUUCGUCUUACAACUCAAAAUUUCAAAUUACAACUCGAAAUUUCAACUUGUAACUCCUAAGUGCUUAUUAAUUCACAACCUAAUUCAAUCCUAACCUAAGCUAAGGUAAUAUGAAGAAAGGACAAGAGCAUAUAUAAUAGAUAUACAAAUGGGACAAGAAUACUACAAUAUAACACUCAUUUCGUUCGUGUUGUCAUUACCUUCUGUAACCUUAUGAUUACAACCGUUCGGAUGAAAGCUUCAAUAACGGAUCAUAACUUUAAGGGUAGGUAAAGAUAACACGAACGAAGUGAGUGUUGUUGCAGUCGUAUACAUUUUUUGUUAACACAAUUGAACCAAACCUAACCUGUUCAUAUUUUAUAGGAACAUUAUAAAAAUUGGAUGCCAAGUUAAUGGAGCAUUUUGUCUCGUCAAUCAACUUUUCGCUUUUGGAUGUAGUGCUAGCUGAAGGAAACGUAAAAGCUUUUACCCUGCGCAGUGUGUUGUUGCUAAAGAAAUGAUUUAUCAUAAUGAAUUGCUUGGCUAACAUAUAAGAGAGAUUGGGUUGUUAAUUUUGACCCUAGCGAUGACGACAUGGGAUGUCUGACCUGAUACCCUUUCUCAAUUUGGUUUGCAUUCCAUUCGUGUAAACUAUGGAACGCUACAUUCUUCAGUUAGUUCAGGAACAUAAAAACUCCAGAUUCCGUAUGUUACAAAACAUUGGUUGUAUCAGUGCCCUUGCACUCUGCAACGUGGUAAUACCCGAAGUUUGAGGAAGGCGUGAAAGUGCCUUUUACCGUUGGGAACGAAGAAAGUGUGCUGUAGCAGAAGGAAAGAUUUAUGACAAUGAACUGGUAAGUAACAGUAUUGAUUAAAAAUAGUAAACGAAGUCUUACAAACAUUAAUUUCCUAGAAUUCAUAAGGCCUGUUAGGCGUUUAAAGCUUCAGUAGGUUUUGCUGAUUUUGCCACAAAAAUUUUUAAAGAACAUCAAUUUGCACUUCCAACCCCCAAUUUAAAAACGUUUUUAUUUCUUGAUUAUUAAUAUUUUAAAUCCUGAUUUCGAAAGCCGAAUCAUUAAUAAGUAAAAGAAGUCAGAACUGCUACUGCAGCCUGACGUUCAGAAUACUUUGCAAUGAAGUGGGUUGCCUAUAUCGAGGACCAACAGUCACCAGCCGUAUUUAAAAUAAUUUGUAUUUUAAAUUGAAACCUUCCUGCGAAAUUAAAUGAGUGCGCUGUAGUCUAGAUCUAGAUAAAGAUAGAAAUGUUACAGUGCGAGUCGAAAUUCGUAAGCAACUAAAUUAUUGGAUUUUAAUAAAAUAAUCUAAAUUUUUUUGGUACAAAAGCAGUCUAUGAAAAUGAUUAUG